AUGAACGCUGGCGGCGUGCCUAAUACAUGCAAGUCGAGCGAACAGACGAGGAGCUUGCUCCUCUGACGUUAGCGGCGGACGGGUGAGUAACACGUGGAUAACCUACCUAUAAGACUGGGAUAACUUCGGGAAACCGGAGCUAAUACCGGAUAAUAUAUUGAUCCGCAUGGUUCAAUAGUGAAAGACGGUUUUGCUGUCACUUAUAGAUGGAUCCGCGCCGCAUUAGCUAGUUGGUAAGGUAACGGCUUACCAAGGCAACGAUGCGUAGCCGACCUGAGAGGGUGAUCGGCCACACUGGAACUGAGACACGGUCCAGACUCCUACGGGAGGCAGCAGUAGGGAAUCUUCCGCAAUGGGCGAAAGCCUGACGGAGCAACGCCGCGUGAGUGAUGAAGGUCUUCGGAUCGUAAAACUCUGUUAUUAGGGAAGAACAAAUGUGUAAGUAACUAUGCACGUCUUGACGGUACCUAAUCAGAAAGCCACGGCUAACUACGUG
rnacentral:rRNA from 1 species